UAGGGAAUCUUCGGCAAUGGGGGGAACCCUGACCGAGCAACGCCGCGUGAGUGAAGAAGGUUUUCGGAUCGUAAAGCUCUGUUGUUAAGGAAGAACGAGUGUGAGAAUGGAAAGUUCAUACUGUGACGGUACUUAACCAGAAAGGGACGGCUAACUACGUGCCAGCAGCCGCGGUAAUACGUAGGUCCCGAGCGUUGUCCGGAUUUAUUGGGCGUAAAGCGAGCGCAGGCGGUUAGAUAAGUCUGAAGUUAAAGGCAGUGGCUCAACCAUUGUAGGCUUUGGAAACUGUUUAACUUGAGUGCAGAAGGGGAGAGUGGAAUUCCAGGUGUAGCGGUGAAAUGCGUAGAUAUAUGGAGGAACACCGGUGGCGAAAGCGGCUCUCUGGUCUGUAACUGACGCUGAGGCUCGAAAGCGUGGGGAGCGAACAGG
rnacentral:rRNA from 1 species